UGAAUUACUUGUCUUGAAUUUGUCUAGAUACGGAUGUAUCUAGACUUAUUUUAGUGCUAGAUACCUCCGUAUCUAGACAAAUCUAAGACAAGUAAUUCA
rnacentral:pre_miRNA from 1 species